rnacentral:lncRNA from 1 species
ACCAUCUACGUAUAUAAUUGUUUGCUUCGUUUGUUUCUCUCGUCUAUAGAGUCAUUCACGGGUAUAUUCAUUCAUAGAAUUAUACAGUUUCGCCAUGAAGAUAUUUCUGGCCGGCUGCUUAUUGGUUGCGGUUAUAGCGGGUGCCCCGCCGAGUCAUCGUGAUGACGUCAUAAUGUAUUCCAGCUCCAACGGCCAGGUGAAAUAUUGGCUCAACUGCGAGUUCCACGGCAAUGACGUCGAGGAGAAACCCAGCACCUUGGGGCAAUGCGGAAGCGUCUGCCUGGCCAACGCGGACUGCAUCCAUUUCACAUGGACCGACGGCGUUUGUUACAUGAAGAACACCAAAGACAUUGACUUCCGCACUCGACUCGACGGCGCCGUUUUCGGAUUCGUCAAGUGCCGAAUUUUCGACUGUUAAUUCUAAUUCUAAUUCACAAUAAUGUAUUGGAUUCUCUUGCUAAAAUAAAUGGUAAUUUAUGCCAAUAACCA